rnacentral:rRNA from 1 species
CCAGACUCCUACGGGAGGCAGCAGUGGGGAAUAUUGGGCAAUGGGCGCAAGCCUGACCCAGCAAUGCCGCGUGAAGGAAGAAGGCCCUCGGGUUGUAAACUUCUUUUAUCAGGGACGAAGGAUGUGACGGUACCUGAUGAAUAAGCUCCGGCUAACUACGUGCCAGCAGCCGCGGUAAUACGUAGGGAGCAAGCGUUAUCCGGAUUUACUGGGUGUAAAGGGCGCGUAGGCGGGAUAACAAGUUAGUUGUGAAAACCCGCGGCUCAACUGAGGAACUGCAACUAAAACUAUUAUUCUUGGGUGCAGGAGGGGAAAGUGGAAUUCCUGGUGUAGCGGUGAAAUGCGUAGAUAUUAGGAAGAACGCCAGUGGCGAAGGCGACUUUCUGGACUGUAGCUGACGUUGAGGCACGAAAGUGUGGGGAGCAAACAGGAUUAGAUA